UGGGAACAUACCUUUUGGUUCGGAACAACACAGGGAAACUUGUACUAAUACCGGAUAAGCCCUUACGGGGAAAGAUUUAUCGCCGAAAGAUUGGCCCGCGUCUGAUUAGCUAGUUGGUGAGGUAAUAGCUCACCAAGGCGACGAUCAGUAGCUGGUCUGAGAGGGUGAUCAGCCACAUUGGGACUGAGACACGGCCCAGACUCCUACGGGAGGCAG
rnacentral:rRNA from 1 species